UGGGGAAUAUUGGACAAUGGGCGAAAGCCUGAUCCAGCCAUGCCGCGUGUGUGAAGAAGGUCUUCGGAUUGUAAAGCACUUUAAGUUGGGAGGAAGGGCAUUAACCUAAUACGUUAGUGUUUUGACGUUACCGACAGAAUAAGCACCGGCUAACUCUGUGUCAGCAGCCGCGGUAAUACAGAGGGUGCAAGCGUUAAUCGGAAUUACUGGGCGUAAAGCGCGCGUAGGUGGUUUGUUAAGUUGGAUGUGAAAUCCCCGGGCUCAACCUGGGAACUGCAUUCAAAACUGACUGACUAGAGUAUGGUAGAGGGUGGUGGAAUUUCCUGUGUAGCGGUGAAAUGCGUAGAUAUAGGAAGGAACACCAGUGGCGAAGGCGACCACCUGGACUAAUACUGACACUGAGGUGCGAAAGCGUGGGGAGCAAACA
rnacentral:rRNA from 1 species